AUUGAACGCUGGCGGCAUGCUUUACACAUGCAAGUCGGACGGCAGCACAGAGGAGCUUGCUUCUUGGGUGGCGAGUGGCGAACGGGUGAGUAACGCAUCGGAACGUACCGAGUAAUGGGGGAUAACUGUCCGAAAGGACAGCUAAUACCGCAUACGCCCUGAGGGGGAAAGCGGGGGAUCUUAGGACCUCGCGUUAUUCGAGCGGCCGAUGUCUGAUUAGCUGGUUGGCGGGGUAAAGGCCCACCAAGGCGACGAUCAGUAGCGGGUCUGUGAGGAUGAUCCGCCACACUGAGACUGAGACACGGCCCAGACUCCUGCGGGAGGCAGCAGUGGGGAAUUUUGGACAAUGGGCGCAAGCCUGAUCCAACCAUGCCGCGUGUCUGAAGAAGGACUUCGGGUUGUAAAGGACUUUUGUCAGGGAAGAAAAGGGGCAUGUUAAUACCGUGCUCUGAUGACGGUACCUGAAGAAUAAGCACCGGCUAACUACGUG
rnacentral:rRNA from 1 species